CAAACAUAGCGAACGGUUUAACAAACGGCGGACUGUAUUUCUAUUCGUCGUUUUAAGUUUAUAGCGUUUUUGGUGUUGUUGUAAAAAUAACGUUUUACGUAAAAACGAAAAUAAAUUCUAACGACAAAGCAAGCGUAUAAAAAUAUUUAUGUUGAUGCUUUUAGAAUAUAUAAUUAAAAGGAAUAAAAAUAAAGUUUUGAUAAAAAAAUCUGCAAAAUUUAAGUGAAAUAGCAAGAAACCUUUAUUUAAAUUAAAUAAUUAUUUUAGGAAAGUGUUUAAAAAAUCUACAAAGAAGUAAUAAAGUUCUGAGUGUGUAUGUGUAGCAUCCUCUUAUAAGCGCCUUCCGGUACGUUUCCUUCGUUUUAUGUUUAUUUUGUUACGCUGUACGUUUUUGUUUUUUUGCACCAAUGCGUGUGUUCUUUCGUGCGUAUUUGUGUGAGUGCGUAAUAUAUACAUAUAACGGUAUAUAUGAUUUUAAUAGCAAAAAGUAUUUUUAGCAUUUUAAAUCUAAACGUCCGCCUCUGCCUUCAUCUUUAAACUAUAUAUUUUAAUAAAGAACAAACGUAAAAUGCAGUUUUUAUGCACAAUUCUUCCAAUAUUUUUUUUUUGCAUCAGUCUCUGAUGCAGCAUGCAUAAAAGAAGCAACAGCCAAGAACACCCUUCCAUUAUAAAAAGUGCACACACUACAUGUUCGAAAUAAUGAAAAGGAAUAAUAAAAUAAUUGUUUUUUUUUCAUAAAAUAAAAAAGUGAAAACCUAAUAAUAAUUGGUCGACUAUAUGAUAACCUAUAGAAUUAUUUGGAUUCUAGUUCAGCCCAAACGCGUAAUACUCUCCACACUUAACUGGUGUAGGGUAUAAUAAAAAUAAAAACUCACCCAAAGAAUAAAAUCUACAGCAAAUUGUUGGUGCACGUACAUAUAUAACAGAUAGAAUAAUUUCGUAUGUGAAAUAUGUAGCAAGUGUUCAUAUGUAAGUUUGAGAAUAUUUUUGUUCGCUCAACAUGUGAAUUGUAAAAAAUAAAACCAAAACAAAAACAGAAAAAAAUAUUUUUAAAAGUGAAAAGAAAGCAAUAAAAUUACAAGUAAAAUUGAAAUUCAAGUGUAUAACAUAUGUGAGGAUUUCGAAUUUAUUAAACGAAACACAAAGGAAUUUUUAAAAAUAGAAUUAAAAAAACUACAUCCUCGCAUAAAAUUCAAUUUAAAGUGUAAUCAAAAAUUAAAAAAAAUAUAAAAUAAUAUUCUUAAGCAAGCCAAAUUGCAACCCCUGCAACUAUUCAAUUAAAAAACGAUUUUUCACCAUUUUAUCUUCAUCGACAUCUUCAGCAAGUUAAUUUGCUUAAAGUUU